AAUGUCGUAAUCAAGGUUUCCGUAGGUCAAGUUUAGCCUGGCCCAACACGCGGGUUCAAAGGCCUCGCUAGUCUCCGCUGGAGGCGACACGCCCCAACCCUGUGGGAAGGGCCCGUCCCCGGGUAAAUCCACAGCCCCACUUCCCCUCGCCCGGAAGUCGGUUUAGAGGCUCAAUGAGCGUGGGCUGCUGAUCUCAGCGCUUGAGAUAGAGUCCGUCCCAGCUGGUAACCCGCUGGGGGCGAACGGAACCUGCGGAAGGAUCUUACAGAAUUGACGGCUUUGCGAAGCCCAGAUUCUCACCCCCGGUGUAUACACUAUCUCUGUUGCUUUGGCGGGUCGCCUGGCGCCUGCCAGAGGGAAACCCUUGAAUCUCUGCAGUCUGAGCACGAUAAAUAGUCAAAU
rnacentral:misc_RNA from 1 species